GAAAGAGUAGGUCACCACAACUGCUAUGAACCAGACGCCGGCGCUGACGCACUUGGCUGCUCCGGUUGUCCUCCAUCGAUGCAGAGUGCUGGCGGCGUGGACGACAGCGAGGUACAGCGCCCCCCACUGCGGAUCCCAGGGGCUGCAGUUAGUUUGGGACGAGGUGAGGAGCAGCUGAGGGGCCUCGGUGCUCCUGGAGGAGCUGAUGUUGGCGAGGAGGAGCUCCAUCGGCACGAAAAAAAAUCAACAACUGAGAGAAGAGGAGGACAGAAAUGACAAACAUGUAGCGUUGCUGUCGAAUAAAAGCAGAAAUUAAUAACAA